rnacentral:lncRNA from 1 species
GACAGCCUUUUAGAAAGACUUUCACAGUGUCAGGUUAGUUACCUAAAUCUUAGGUAACUUUAGGUUAGUUACCUAAAGUCACUCUGUGACUUCAUCCUGAUAUAAAGGAACAAGGAAGAGAGUCGGAUUAGGCUAACUCACUAUGAUGGGGUAACACAUAGAAAAGGCACGGAGAAGUUAAGUGAUUUGCCUGUGGUCACAAAGCCUGUUAGCAGCAAACCCAGAACAAGAACCUAAGAUUUAUGACCGCCAGUUCCAGCUGUUUUUCUUCGUCAUGUAUCCUCAGCAAUCAACAUAAUCAAAAUCUGUUUGGAGACUACUGAUUUGUAUAAAGGAAGAUAACACCGAACAACCAAACAGGAAGUAAUCCAGCGAAUCUGGAACAGCGGUGGAAUUUAGAAGCAAGGCCAGAUGAGGACCCUAAGACCUAGAGAAACUAAGUCAUUUGCUCAAGAAGACAAAGAAUUGGCUGCCAUAACUCAGUGUUCCCGGGACCUGCAGUGGGCAGAGCACCAGCACAACCCGUAGAAAGCAGCUCCAAGAUCAGCACCCUCUCAUAAACCUACCGAGCCAGGAGCAUCUUCCAGGCCCUCCACUCUCAGGAGUUUCAAGGAGAAAACAAAAUGCUGAGGACUGGGAAUGAGAAGCUUCAACCUUGCACAAUCUCUACAUUUUGCUUUACUCCCAAGAGGGACGAAUGAAGAAUGUUGUUAUUGAUGCUAUGACCACUUCUCUCCCAUAUUGUGCCCAGUAAACAUGGUCUUACUCAUUAUUGAAAUACUAGCAUUCUUCUAUAAUGGUUCGUACACAGCUGCUGCCCAGAGCACUGAAUAACACAUACUACCAGGUGUCAAACCCAGAUUUCCCCAGUCUCUCCUUAAUUUCCAGCAAUAAAAAGAUUAGCCUGGCACAGCAGGUCUUCAGACCCUUUCUGAUUUUGAAUAGUGAUUUGAACACCUCUCCUAGCUGUGUCCCCUUUGGGUUUAAGAAUAAGAUAGAAGAUAUAUUGCUUUCCAUUUUAAAAUGUUUAACUUCUAUUCAAGAAUAAAUAUUGAUGAAGGGCAUCUAGGUACUAGUGAUUUUUCCUGAUGUCCAUUUUGUGAACUUCACAGAAGACUUUGAUUUCACCUUAAACCAAAGAAAACGUUCACAGAUAUCUUAUAAAUCUACUAUUUUUCAUGAUUAUAAUAACCUGUCAUCAUGACAAGCCAUGUUCAUUAACAAAAGAAAUCAUAGGGGCAGCUUCUAUUGGGCACUUAACUCCUUCAUCCAUGAAAUUAUACUUUAUGUGAAUUUAUUUUUGGAAAGUUCAGGUAGUUUAAAUUUUAAAUAUAUAGACUAGAAAGAAAUUGGGACCUUAAAAACUAUUUUACAGGAAAAAUGUUUCUGCCUGUCCUCAUAUUUCCUUCUUUUUUUUUUUUAACAGUGUUAGAUUUCUGCAGAACUAAUACCCUUUAAAUACUCUUGUCACACUUCAGAGGACACUAUGCAAAUUCUCAGAGGCCACACAAUUUCCAGGUAUAUUGUGAGGCCUCUGAUAAGAUUUGUAUACUGUUGACACCUACUUAAUAUAUGGAUAAAUAAAUCUCCA